rnacentral:rRNA from 1 species
AUGACUACACCAAAGCAUAUAUCAUUAAGUAUCUUAGAAGAGAUUACCAACGGAUUCUCAGUGGGCUCAAGAAUUGGAAGGGGCGGGUUUGCAGAUGUUUACAAGGGAGUUUACAAUGGGAGAGAUAUUGCUGUGAAGUUGCUUCUUGUUGAUGCAGCGCGAGGAAUUGAUGACCAACAGUUUAAAAAUGAAGUUGGUAACCUUUUGAGGGCUAAGCAUCGAAAUAUUGUACAGUUAGUCGGUUAUUGUUAUGAAACAAAGAAAAUAUUUGUUGAGCGCAAUGGUGAUUUUAGCGAACAUAUAUAUAAAGCAAUCUGCUUUGAGUACUUGCAGGGUGGAAGCCUAGACACGCGUCUUCAUGACCAAUCUUUUGCACCUAAUUGGAGCACACGUUACAAUAUUAUAAAGGGGGUCUGUGGAGGUUUAAAUUUCCUUCACAAAUGUGUACCACAAAUUUUGCAUCUUGAUUUGAAGCCCGCUAAUAUAUUACUAGACAGUUCCAUGGAGCCUAAAGUGGCGGAUUUAGGAUUGUCAAGGCUCUUCACUCAAUCAUACACUCAUGUCACAGAAAAAGCCGUAGGAACCCGGAAGUACAUGCCACCAGAAUUCAUAAAAUAUUGCAUAAUCUCACCUAAGAAUGAUGUUUUUAGUUUGGGUGUUGUAAUGAUAGAGAUAAUGACAGCACCUGCAAGUUACUCCAAUUAUCUUGAAGUGGGCAAUGUGGCACAAUUAAUGCAGCAGGUACUUACCAACUGUACUAUGGUUGAAGCCACAUCAAAUUACCGAUCAGAGGAAAUACGUCAGCUGGAGACGUGUAUCAAAUUAGCAAUACGUUGUGUGGAUUCUGAAAGAGAUAAUAGGCCCUCUGUAGCAGAUAUCCUGGAUACCCUGAAUGAGACAGAAACUCGUAUUCCCAAGAGACAGUUGACAGAUGUGCCCCUUUAUCUGGCAACUGGUCCCAAAUAUACAAUGGGUAACACGUUGAAGACGACGAGAGAUGAGCAGGACAAUAUAACAAAUGAACACCAGAACUGCAGUUCCAUGGCAAAAGAUAAUAACUCUAAUUUGCAGCAAGUUGGUGAUAUACGGGAGACAACAUCGUCCAUGAAAGAAGCAUUAAUCAUCGGAAGGACCAAAGAAAAACAGAAAAUAUUGUCAAUUUUAUCUGAGAGCAGCACACAAGAGAUCACAUUCCUUCCGAUAUAUGGUAUUGGAGGCAUUGGGAAGACAACCAUGGCACAAUUGGUUUUCAAUGAUCUCCAGUUCAAAGAGUACUCUCGGGUUUGGACCUAUGUUUCCCAGACAUUUGAUAUGAAGAAAAUUGGGAAUUCUAUAAUAACACAGCUAUCUGGUAACAAGAGUGAGCAUACUGAUCUUCAGAUGAUAGAAAAUAGCCUACAAAAACUCCUUUCUGGUAAGAGGGUUCUAAUCAUCUUAGAUGACCUGUGGGAGAGGCAAUCAUCUCAGUUAAAAAAGUUGGAGGGUAUGCUAAAGCUGGGUGAAGGGGGCAAAGUGGUGGUGGUAGUAACCACACGAGAAGAAUCUAUAGCACAGAAUAUUCACACAGACACAGUGGAGCCAUACAAGCUAGCUCCCUUGACAGAUGACAUUUGUUGGACUAUCAUAAAAAUUAAAAGUUCAUUUGAAACUAGGGCUGAAAGAGCGCAGUUAGAGUUGAUUGGAAAGGAAAUUGCAAAGAAGUGUGGAGGUCUAGCUUUAGCAGCCCAAUCUAUUGGGUAUACGUUGGGCAACAUGGAAUUUGAUGAAUGGGUGUCGGUGAACAACAGUGAGAUCUGGGAUGUUCUUGCCACAGGAGAAUAUUCACCUGAUCAUGUGCAUGCAUCCUUACAGCUAACCUAUCACCGUAUGGAUCCAUACUUGAAGUUAUGCUUUGCUUAUUGUGCAACCUUUCCAAAAGGUCACUGGAUGGCUAUAGAAGAUCUAAUUUACCAAUGGAUUGCUCUUGGACUUGUUGAGCCAUCAAGGACAUUCUCUAAUAUACAAACCGGUCAUAAAUAUAUUCGUCAUCUUUUUGGCACGUGCUUCAUUGAACAUCCUUCUUGGUCACAAUCGACUAGUUACUAUUCAUUGUUCAUGAAGCCUGACAAUUUCUUGAUCAUGCAUGACCUGGCGCAUGAUCUUGCAAGAUCAGUUCUGGCUAAUGAAAUUAACAUAGAGAGUCCUUCCUGCCGAUAUGCAUGGCUGACAGAUCAUAGAAAGCUAUUUAAGUCAUCAAUGAAUCCACUUGCUAAGUUAUUUAAGUCAUCAAUGGAUCCACUCACCAAGAUAAGGGCACUGCAUUUUAUCGACCGUGGCUCCUUGCAGCUUCAUGCUGAAGCAUUAUCAGGAGCUAAAUGCCUAUGUGUCUUGGAUUUAAGCAAAUGUUGUGCACAAGAGUUACCUGAUUCUAUUGGUCAACUAAAACAGUUGAGGUAUCUCGAUGCUUCAUGGAACGUCGAUGUACCUGAACCUCCUGAAUACCCAGAUCCGCCGGAGUCUACAAUGAUACCGAAAGCUCUGGGUUCCCUUAACAAACUCCAAUAUUUGAAUUUAUCAUUCCGCCGAAGACCCAUAGGGCUGCCAGAGGUCAUCAGCAAACUCACGGAACUCAGGUAUUUGAAUACAUCAUUUUGUGAGGGUUAUUAUUUAUUGGACAGCCCAUCAGCAAACCAAAGUUUCAUUGACUGUAUCGGUACCCUUCCCAAUCUGGAGCAGCUGGACAUGUCUUGGAAUGACUAUGUUUUUUGUGUGCCUGAAAGUUUUAGCAGACUAAAGUAG